UAACUAUUAUUAAAUAAUUCCGACAAUUUUGUAAAAUUGCGACAAAUGGAGUUUUUCUUCCCAUUUACUAUAUUUCUAUAUAACGUACCAGCGGAAUUAAUUCAGAACUUGGAUUCUUUAAUAUUUAACGUUUGUUGUAAACUAGAUUUCAAAUAUUACCAUUUUUGGAUUAAUUUAAUUGCCCGAUUAACUAAGUCCGAUUGAAGAUGUGGUUGGAAAUCCCCAUUAAUUAUAAUUAAGGUGACGUAUUAGCUAUUAAAAACGGCCCACUAACGUUCCCCAUUGUCCUUAAAAUCGCUUAACAACACGAACAAAUAUACAGUGUUUAAUAUAUUCGUUAUUAAUAUUAUAUAGGGCAAAAAUUGAAAUACGAUAUAUUGUACCAUCUGGUUUAUUUCGUGACGAAUAAAAGUGUUAAAUUAUUUUUGCCGUAUUUGCGUGACCGCUAUAUGGCGAUCUUUCUUUAAUAACCCAGAUUUGGGCCUGGCCAAAGGCCCAUAUAUAAUCGAACACAGGCUUGCGUUUCGCAGGACUUUAUUUUUCUACCAUCGAAAAGCCAUUUGACAAAACCACAAAUAAUAAUUCGCUGCAAUAAUGCGACCGGCCAGCACGCUACUAAAUUGGAUUGGUUAAUUAAAAUAUUUAGGGGUUAUCGGUUAGGGUAAAUGCGUAUAUAAUUAAAAACCAGCAUCGAUUGGUAUUUUAUAGGGCAAAUACGGAAAAUCGAUAUAUAUUAACCAACGACCCGGGUCACUUUUUAUCCGCGUCGCGUGAAGUUCAGCAAUUUGGUUUAUUUUCUUUCCUUUCCUCGGAGCAAAAUCUUCGUCGAUAGGUACCAAUAAACUAGUUUUUGUACUAUAUUUACCCUGGCCGUAACAUUUAUAUAUUUACACGUAAUUUAGUAGAAAACGUUCUGUUUUUUAGCCAGUUCUGUUUCCGAUGCGUUUUGCACCCAAUUUAAAACACGUAUUAAUAUAUAUAUUUUUACACCUUAUCGCGGUACCGUAAAUGCACACCGCCGUAUAUUAGCUUUGGUCACUCGUUUUUUCGGUUUAUUAGCACCAUUUUCACGCAAUUUGGUGCGUAUGAAAUUCCAGGAUUAAUCUGCCAGAAAACCGUAAUUAGCUAUUUAAUUUAUUUCAACGUUUGUUAAUUGCUUAUAAAUCUUAUGCCUUUAUUUCGUAUUCCCGAACCCGUGCGCUAUUUAACGUUUUGGCCUUUUCCCAUAACCUUUCGCCUUUUGGUCGACCCUUUUAUUUUACCAAAUAUUUAACGUUUCCAGCCCAUUUUCUUUUAUCAAAUAAUCGCAUUCCUGCAUAAUUUCCCUCAAAAUUCGAUUCGAAAUUUUUAAUAAGAUUUUCGCUAAUAUUACCUCCUGGUUCCCACGUAUUGUUUUUAUAUGGGAACCCCUUCCAUUUAACAAAAUAAUAAAAUUUUUUUUUUAAACCCCAUUUCGCGAAAAGUUUUUCGGCCUUCCAUAUAUUAUUUUUUGCAUUAAACGCAAUUGGUUUAUUUUUUAACAAAUUCGGAAAAUAUUUGGUAUUAAUUAAUAUAUUUUGUAACGCAAACCCUGUUAAAUUGGUAUUAUUUUUAUUCGGGGGGCUAACGUCCCCUAAAAAAUCAUAUUUUAAUAUUGCGACGGGUAAUUUAAUAAACGCAAAAUUUAUUAAUUUUGUAAAUCUCCUUUUAAAAUUUGGGAUAUAAAAUGGGUUAGGUUAUAAUAUUUCGGGAAAACCUAAAUCCAGGAGCAAAACAUGUCGCAAUGGAUUGUUAGGAUUUUUGGUAAUGCAAAAAUCUUUUAGGGAAUUGGGAUCCGUCGAUAAAAUCGAACAUUGUUCGUUCUGGCUGGACAAAAUUAAUUUAUUGGUGUUAAAAAUAGGCGACGUAAUAAACGCAAAUGGCGCCCUAUUAAAUUAUAUUAAAAUUAAAACGUUUAGGAUUGCAAAUAUAUAGGUUAACAAAUAUAAUAACAGCUAUUUAUUCGGAUAUUAACGUCGCAAUAAUUGUCGGAUUGGGACCUAAUAUUAUUUUUUGUUUUUUGGCAAAACGGAUCGAUUUAAAUCGGCCGUGGUUGUUUUUUUCGGAGCUAAAAAUACGUUUUUUUGGUGACGCAUUUUCGACGCUGUGGAUAUCUUGGAAAUAAUACCAAAAGCUUUUCUUUAAAUCCAUUGGAACAAAACAAUUUGGAUAUAGGCAUUUGAAAUUGUUAAAAUAAAACCCAAUUGUUAUAUAAUUAGUAACGCAUUUCGAAAUAUGUGUUAAUUAUAUAUAUUAUUUUGCAUAUAAUAAACCCACUUUUAUUUGUAUAUAACCCAUUUUA
rnacentral:sRNA from 1 species